AGACGCCCCACCCUGCUCAGACCCUGGGCUUUUUAUUGAAAGGCAGUGCCAGGCACACUCUGAUGGGUCUUGGGGGAGACCAAGGGUGCCCUGCUCAAUGUCAGCCCUGACUCUGUGCCACGUGCACUCAGCUCUGCCACGGAGGUGCAUGGCUCUGUAGACGUGGACGGUGAGCUGGGGAGGAAGGUGGUCUUGGAGAGAAAUGCCCCAUGGGGAGCUGAGACCUGUGUGUCAUGGGAUCAUCCUGGAUUUGGCUUAAAAUCCACGUGGCUGUGGAAAUCCCAGGGUGCACCGAGGAUCUGUGGGGGAGCAGGGCCUCAGGGGUGACACCUCAGAGCUCCUGUUUACCUCUUUAGCCACCAGGAAGACAUUAGGACUCCCAGAGGGUGACUCCAGGGGCAGGUGGCUUGGAGGACUGGCCGUGCAAGGAGGCAGCAAAGGGGCGGCCAUCUGCAAGCUGAGGGCAGAGGCCUUGGAGGAAGCAGCCCUGCCAGUGCUGCCUGCAGGUCGGAAGUCCAAACCAAGGUGCUGGAAGGGCUGGUUCCUUCCGGACCCUUCAGGGGAGAAUCUUUCUGCCUCUUUGGCUUCUUGAGGCCCCUUCCUGGCAUUGCUUCUUUCUCCACUGACUCCUACCAUCAGCGCUGAGUCCUGCCUGCCUCUUAUAAGAUCUUCAGAGGCCACCUGGGAUGUCAGAAGCUUCCAGGAACCAGGAGGUAGCUGCAUCUCCUGUCCCUUCCCUGAGUCACCUUGCUGGACUCCACAGUGUGGUGCAGACAAGAAGCUGCAGGGGACAACAUGGAAGGAAGCGGGGAUGGAGGAGAUGGAAUGGGAUGGGCUCUGGGCCCGGCCAAGCAGAGCAGGAUAGGGCUGAGAGUCAUCUGAGCACAGGUGGUUCAAAUGGCAGAGAAGCUCCACGCUGGAGCGGGGAAGAGCUUGGGCUUUCCGGCCAGAAAGCGCAGGUUUUGGCCACGGCUCUUCUGCCACUCACUAGAUGUGGGAGUUUGGAGGCGUUACCCGAGCUCUGAGCCUUACUUUCCUCAUCUGAAAAAUGGGAAUAAUGGUAGGGUUAAAUUAAACCAAAUUUGGUCUGAGGAUGCCUCUGCACUUUGAGUCCAACUGCGACCUUAGCAGCAAAUGAACUGCAGGCCUAGCUUAGGAGUGUACUUUUGUAAGAAAUAGCCGAGUCUUAGCCAAUCACAGCAGCUGAGCUUCUAUAAAUCGCAGGUGGCUGCUGAGUAGUCCAUGUUCAAACACGGCAAACCAAGCUGUGACCAAUGAGCUGUCUCUGCAGCUCACUUCCAUUUUCUGUCUAUAAACACUCCCUGCCCACACUGUGGAGUGGAGCUCAGCCCUUGGAACCUCUUCUGGUCUGAGGGCUGCCCACUUCAUGAAUCCUUUGCUUAAUUAAACUCAAUUCAUUUCAAAUGAAA
rnacentral:lncRNA from 1 species